rnacentral:rRNA from 1 species
CCUACGGGAGGCAGCAGUAAGGAAUAUUGGUCAAUGGACGAAAGUCUGAACCAGCCAUGCCGCGUGAAGGAUGAAGGCCCUCUGGGUUGUAAACUUCUUUUAUCUGGGACGAAAAAAGCUCAUUCUUGAGCACUUGACGGUACCAGAGGAAUAAGCACCGGCUAACUCCGUGCCAGCAGCCGCGGUAAUACGGAGGGUGCAAGCGUUAUCCGGAUUCACUGGGUUUAAAGGGUGCGUAGGUGGGUCUGUAAGUCAGUGGUGAAAUCUCCGAGCUUAACUCGGAAACUGCCAUUGAUACUAUAGGUCUUGAAUCAUCUGGAGGUAAGCGGAAUAUGUCAUGUAGCGGUGAAAUGCUUAGAUAUGACAUAGAACACCAAUUGCGAAGGCAGCUUACUACGGGUGUAUUGACACUGAGGCACGAAAGCGUGGGGAUCAAACAGGAUUAGAUACCCUGGUAGUCCACGCCCUAAACGAUGGAUACUCGACAUCANCGAUACACUGUUGGUUGUGUGNGCGAAGACGAUUAAGUUAGUACCACCGUCGGUAAGGUACGUUACCGACGAAGGUUAGGUUAACGUACAAUUAGAGUUAGACGGCGUUGAGACGNGCGACGGACGACGACGAGGGAGGAGG